AUUAUUUUGACAGAAAAAUGUGAUGAUUUUAGAAAUCAUUUAUAUAUAAUUUUAAUUAUAUAAAUAGUA
rnacentral:tRNA from 1 species